rnacentral:rRNA from 1 species
UACGGAGGGGGCUAGCGUUGUUCGGAAUUACUGGGCGUAAAGCGCGCGUAGGCGGCUUUGUAAGUUAGAGGUGAAAGCCCAGGGCUCAACCCUGGAAUUGCCUUUAAGACUGCAUCGCUUGAACAUCGGAGAGGUAAGUGGAAUUCCGAGUGUAGAGGUGAAAUUCGUAGAUAUUCGGAGGAACACCAGUGGCGAAGGCGGCUCACUGGCUCGAUACUGACGCUGAGGUGCGAAAGCGUGGGGAGCAAACAGG